rnacentral:misc_RNA from 1 species
GUUGAAGAACGUAGCGAAAUGCGAUACUUGGUGUGAAUUGCAGAAUCCCGUGAACCAUCGAGUCUUUGAACGCAAGUUGCGCCUCAAGCCAUUAGGUUGAGGGCACGUCUGCCUGGGCGUCACAUAUCGUUGUCUGAUGCCAGUUUCCUCGUGAUGGGUGACUGUGCAGGGCGAAUGAUGGCUUCCCGUGAGCAUUGUUGCCUCAUGGUUGGUUGAAAAUUGAGUCCUUGGUAGGGAGCGCCGUGAUAGAUGGUGGUUGAGUGACGAACGAGACCCAAUCAUGUGAGACCCCUACCGAAUUUGGCCUUCAUGACCCACAUGCGUCUUUGGAACGCUCAUGACGAGACCUCAGGUCAGGCGGGGCUACCCGCUGAGUUUAAGCAUAUCAAUAAGCGGAGGA